rnacentral:rRNA from 1 species
GACGAAGGGGGCUAGCGUUGUUCGGAAUUACUGGGCGUAAAGCGCGUGUAGGCGGUUGUCCAAGUCGGGUGUGAAAGCCUUGAGCUCAACUCAAGAAAUGCAUUCGAUACUGGGCGACUAGAGUGCCGGAGAGGAUAGUGGAAUUCCCAGUGUAGCGGUGAAAUACGUAGAGAUUGGGAAGAACACCAGUGGCGAAGGCGGCUAUCUGGACGGUUACUGACGCUAAGACGCGAAAGCGUGGGGAGCAAACAGG